rnacentral:rRNA from 1 species
CAGAGGUACUGCUAUCGAGAKYCGACUAAGCCAUGCGAGUUGAAUGUUCUUCGUGAACAUGGCGGACUGCUCAGUAACACGUGGACAACCUACCCUUGGGUCCGGCAUAAUCCUGGGAAACUGGGAAUAAUUCCGGAUAGGUCACCGAUGCUGGAAUGCGCGGUGGCCGAAAGCUCCGGCGCCCGAGGAUGGGUCUGCGGCCUAUCAGGGUUGUAGUGGGUGUAACGUACCUACUAGCCUACGACGGGUACGGGUUGUGAGAGCAAGAGCCCGGAGAUGGAUUCUGAGACACGAAUCCAGGCCCUACGGGGUGCAGCAGGCGCGAAAACUUUACAAUGCGGGAAACCGUGAUAAGGGGAUCUCGAGUGCCAGCAUAUAAUGUUGGCUGUCCAGAUGCCUAAAAAGCAUCUGUUAGCAAGGGCCGGGCAAGACCGGUGCCAGCCGCCGCGGUAACACCGGCGGCCCGAGUGGUAACCGCUAUUAUUGGGUCUAAAGGGUCUGUAGCCGGCCAGGUAAGUCCCUUGGGAAAUCUGGCAGCUCAACUGUCAGGCUGCUAGGGGAUACUGUUUGGCUUGGGACCGGGAGAGGUGAGAGGUACCUUGGGGGUAGGGGUGAAAUCUUGUGAUCCUCGAGGGACCACCAGUGGCGAAGGCGUCUCACCAGAACGGGUCCGACGGUAAGGGACGAAAGCUAGGGGCACGAACCGGAUUAGAUACCCGGGUAGUCCUAGCCGUAAACGAUGCUCGCUAGGUGUCAGUCACGGUGCGACCGUGAUUGGUGCCGUAGGGAAGCCGUGAAGCGAGCCACCUGGGAAGUAUGGCCGCAAGGCUGAAACUUAAAGSAAUUGGCGGGSSAGCACUACAACGGGUGGAGCCUGCGGUUUAUUG